UAUGAUCUGGAAAGCAUACACCUUCAUUAUUAUCUGGAAAGCUAAAAACAAGAACACCCUCGAAUGUGAGGCUCACAUAUCAAUAUUGUUGUUUUUCAGUGAUGCUGGACUUCUUAACUAACUGGUCAUGGUGGGUGUGUUUUGGUUAGAUGGCUGUUAUGAGACCAAAAAUAUGCUGGGAGAUAAACCGCAGGGACAUGUUUGUACACCGGACACCAAGAGUUGCGGCAUAUCUGGUCAGUGAAAGUUGGAAGCGUUGUUUUGAUGGUAGCCUGCGCAGAAGAGGUAGCUCUGCUUUGACACAUACGCACUGCAAAUAGACUUGUUGUGCCUGAGAUGCAGCCUGAACCAGCCAACUACCUACCUACCUACAGAGGUGAUUGGUAGGCUGCAAAAAUGCUGAAAAAGUUCAGUUCAUCUCAUAUUCAUCUCCAUUCACGUCUGCCACAUUGGCCACCGACAAGGCGUUUCGAUAUUUGGCCAGUUUCAUCAGCUGCCCCCACGUCUUGCCAUCUGCUUGGCAUCUGCAUACAUGUCUUUGCGUAGUUUGAUUACAGCCCUCAUAAAACUGCCAUCGGAAGCUUCCAGCAUUCGACCCAAACGUACUACCAAGGACCUAGCCGGAAAGUCGUCCUUGCGCCACGCACGACCAAGCCAUCUUGUCGUCCUCGGGCCUCGCACAACCAAGCCAUCUAGUCGUCUUGGCGCCACGCACAACCAAGCCAUCUAGUCAUCCUAGCGCCACGCACGACCAAGCCAUCUAGUCGUCCUCUUGCCACAAAGGACUAAGCCAUCUAGUCAUGCUCGUGCCAUGCACGACCAAGCCAACUAGUCGUCCUCGCGCCACGCACGGCCAAUAUAUGAAUGACAAAUAUGCAAUAAAGUUAUACACUGUAGAUGUCUAAGGUGUUUUGAAGUUAUGAAUCGAUUACACAUAUUGCAGAAAACAA